UCUUCGUUCGUUCAUUCAUUCCUUCCUCUUCUCCUGGCGUUUCAUCUCUCGUUCCAGAGUUAUCCGAUUGCUUUUUUUCCUCCAGCUGCUUUUUCGGUCCCACUAGUUAAAACGUCAAAACUGCUUGGAGACCACCAAAGCCUAGGGACUAGGUGAAGAACAUUCAAGCAUAGCUUCUGAGAUCACAUCUCAGUCAACGAUUCUCCCUUGACAACGACACUGAAUCCCAUUGAAGAACUGGUAGACUGGUAGCAAAUUGGACUGAACUCUGUAAGAAACAAAGACUGCCAACCUUGGCUCAUCACCACCGUUUACCUGCUGUGAUUCACUGAACUCUGCUUAGCUCUGGGAAAUUUUUAGUCAUUGAUGAAGUCGUGACACCAUAUUAAACUGACCUUUUUUUGGGUUGGAGCCUAAAGAAACCAGGUGUGGACAAACACGGUCCAUUUUUGUUCAAAAAAAUCUGGACCAGAGUUUUGCAUUCUAUUGUGCGACUGUUUUUUAUGCUUCCGAAGAACAUUCAAUAUUUUUCCUUAGCGUUUUUUUUUUCUUUACGAGACCGACAAGAAUCCAUUUCAACACUCACUCAGGAUUCCCAGCGUCAAGACAGGAGCGAAGAACUUCAAAAACCUCUGCGUGUAAACGUUACUGACGUUGAACUUGAGAUAGCCCACAACACAUUUUCACAGUGAACUGAUUUCCCCUCCGUGCUCCUGGCUGCCUGGUGAAACCUCUUCUUCCUGUGGUUUUGUGUCGCCUCUCACUCUCUCUUUUUUUAAAAAACUGAUCUCUGCUGCUCUCGUUUUUACGUGGCUUCUGCGUUUCUUCAUCCUUCCACUCGAGGAUAUGAAAGGUCGAGAGGAGAUCCAGUCCACAGCACCAUGCCAGAACUGAGCAGACGUGGUGAGAGUUGGGCUGACAAUGUUCAAGGGACUACAUUUUCACUCCUCCUCCACGAUGCCCGUCAGCCUCUGCUGUCUCCUCUCCCCCUCCU